rnacentral:lncRNA from 1 species
UUGUCGACUAGUUUUAUCAACUGAAUCUAACUCUAAAAUGUAACUAUUAACAAAUCUCCCUAUUUUUUUGCAGAUUUGCCUCCUUUAUUAUGUAAUCUGUUGUUUCUAUCACCCCAAAUAGCCCAAACUGCAACACAAAAAAUUCGACGGUGGGAUGCUAAACACUGUGAAAAAACCCAGGUUAACCACUGUUGAAACCCCAUCUGGUUAUCCUGCAUAUAACUAUGAAAUGAUAACUCUCUCCACACUAAUAUUGUAACAGGGCAUUCUCGAAAAAGAUGUUCCAUGGAUUCAGAUCCAGAACCACACCGAGGACACAUUGAAUUACUAGUUAGUCGUCUAAGUAGCAUAUUAACGCGAGUAGCUAGGAAAUUCCACGAGAUCUUCUAAACUGUAAUUUUAAUUUUUGAAGGUAGAUCGAGAAGUCAUAGUUUCCUGUAGAAGUCCUUAUAGUGAUCUUGUAAAGCAUAAGCUCUAGGAUCAUUUGCAGUAUUUUGUAAUAGUUUAUAGGCGCUACGUACUGUGAACUCCCCCGACGCUUCAGCACUCCAAACUUGAAAAUCUUCGUGUGGUCUUUCAGCCAGCGGGAUACUGAGAAUCAUCUCGGCUACAUCCUCCGAGAAG